rnacentral:rRNA from 1 species
CCUACGGGUGGCAGCAGUGAGGAAUAUUGGUCAAUGGACGAGAGUCUGAACCAGCCAAGUAGCGUGAAGGAUGACUGCCCUAUGGGUUGUAAACUUCUUUUAUAUGGGAAUAAAAUGUUCCACGUGUGGGAUUUUGUAUGUACCAUAUGAAUAAGGAUCGGCUAACUCCGUGCCAGCAGCCGCGGUAAUACGGAGGAUCCGAGCGUUAUCCGGAUUUAUUGGGUUUAAAGGGAGCGUAGGUGGAUUGUUAAGUCAGUUGUGAAAGUUUGCGGCUCAACCGUAAAAUUGCAGUUGAAACUGGCAGUCUUGAGUACAGUAGAGGUAGGCGGAAUUCGUGGUGUAGCGGUGAAAUGCUUAGAUAUCACGAAGAACUCAGAUUGCGAAGGCAGCUUACUGGACUACAACUGACACUGAGGCACGAAAGUGUGGGUAUCAAACAGGAUUAGAUACCCUAGUAGUC